UGUAUUUCUUAUUAUUUAAAAAAAAUAUUAAAAAUAAUUUUAAAAGGACGCAGCUGUGCGUUUGAGAAACGACCGGAAACGACUUAUAUGUCGCGAGGCCAUCACGUGACCACAAUAUUUACCAGAAGACCGUUAUUUGCUCGAGUACCCUCAACUUUUUUGUCGCAAAUAACAUUAUUAAUAACCUGUAAAUAAUACAUUUUGUACACAUUACGUUCCUCUUCACUUUGUAAUAGUAUGUUUUUUGGUUUAAUAGUCGGCUUUAAGUUAGUUUUUCUGUCAGUUUGAUCGUCAAAAUCUUGAAAGUUAUCUGCAGCCACACAUCCACUGUAUACCAAGUUAUGAUGAACAAUUAUGAAAAUGCAAAAGGAUUGAUAGAUCAGUAAACAAGCAACAAAAAGAUGGGUGCUCAUGGUGGCCUCCAAAUAAAUACAUGGACAGGCUGCUAAAGAGGGUCAGGAUGAUGGAGAUGCAAGAGCCAAAGACAGCACAGACCAAACACCAGGCCAGAAUUCUGCAUGAGUCAGAUUGAGUAAUUUUCACUCUAGAGACCCUUGGGUGACCACCAAGGACGAAUGCAAACUCCAGUGAGUGUCUCUAAGGUAGAUCCUAAUGCAGAUGGAUGGAAUGUUGAUCCGCCUAACAUGCAAGGUAAAAGAGCAUUUGAUAGCAUAGUGGAUAAACAAAGCUUUUUUCAUUUUCAGAGCAUUUUCAAAAACAACAUAACACUUGCUAUUACAUUGUUAUAUAUUACAUGACCAUGUCUAACUCUGAUCCAUACAAAACAGAUUUUCUGUACCGAGAACUUUGGAUGACCACGUUUUCAAAAAUCUGACCUCAAUUUUAGUAACCAUUUAGAUAUUUUAGAUGUAGUCCGAGAGCUUGCUGACCCUCCAUUAAAAAA